AGAAACUAACAAGGAUUCCCAUAGUAACUGCGAGUGAAGCGGGAAAAGCUCAAAUUUAAAAUCUGGCGGUCUCUGGCCGUCCGAGUUGUAAUCUAGAGAAGUAAUGCCCGUGCUGGACCGUGUAUAAGUCUCCUGGGAUGGGGCGUCAUAGAGGGUGAGAAUCCCGUCUUUGACACGGACUACCAGUGCAUUGUGGUAUGCUCUCAAAGAGUCGAGUUGUUUGGGAAUGCAGCUCAAAAUGGGUGGUAAAUUCCAUCUAAAGCUAAAUAUUGGCGAGAGACCGAUAGCGAACAAGUACCGUGAGGGAAAGAUGAAAAGAACUUUGGAAAGAGAGUUAAACAGUACGUGAAAUUGCUGAAAGGGAAACGCUUGAAGUCAGUCGCGUUGGCCGGGGAUCAGCCUUGCUUUUGCAUGGUGUACUUUCUGGUUGACGGGUCAGCAUCAAUUUUGACCGCUGGAAAAAGACCUGGGGAAUGUGGCAGCUUCGGCUGUGUUAUAGCCCCUAGUCGCAUACAGUGGUUGGGAUUGAGGAACUCAGCACGCCGCAAGGCCGGGUUUCGACCACGUUCGUGCUUAGGAUGCUGGCAUAAUGGCUUUAAGCGACCCGUCUUGAAACACGGACCAAGGAGUCUAACAUGCCUGCGAGUAUUUGGGUGGAAAACCCAAGUGCGUAAUGAAAGUGAAAGUUGAGAUCCCUGUCGUGGGGAGCAUCGACGCCCGGACCAGAACUUUUGGGACGGAUCCGCGGUGGAGCAUGUAUGUUGGGACCCGAAAGAUGGUGAACUAUGCCUGAAUAGGGUGAAGCCAGAGGAAACUCUGGUGGAGGCUCGUAGCGAUUCUGACGUGCAAAUCGAUCGUCAAAUUUGGGUAUAGGGGCGAAAGACUAUCGAACCAUCUAGUAGCUGGUUCCUGGC
rnacentral:rRNA from 1 species